rnacentral:misc_RNA from 1 species
AGCAGCCGCGGUAAUUCCAGCUCCAAUAGCGUAUAUUAAAGUUGCUGCAGUUAAAAAGCUCGUAGUUGAAUUUCGGGAUCAAUAUGUUGGUCGUGCCUUGGUACGUACUAGCUCAUUGGUUUCUCCCUUCUGACGAAUCAUGAUGUCAUUAAUUUGAUGUCAUGGGGAAUCAGGACUGUUACUUUGAAAAAUUAGAGUGUUUAAAGCAGGCUCGCGCUUGAAUACAUUAGCAUGGAAUAAUGAAAUAGGACAUUUGAUUCUAUUUUGUUGGUUUCUAGGAUCGAUGUAAUGAUUAAUAGGGAUAGUUGGGGGCAUUAGUAUUCAAUUGUCAGAGGUGAAAUUCUUGGAUUUAUUGAAGACUAACUACUGUCGAAAGCAUUUGCCAAGGAUGUCUUCAUUAAUCAAGAACGAAAGUUAGGGGAUCGAAG